GAUGAACGCUGGCGGCGUGCCUAAUACAUGCAAGUCGAGCGAACAGACGAGGAGCUUGCUCCUCUGACGUUAGCGGCGGACGGGUGAGUAACACGUGGAUAACCUACCUAUAAGACUGGGAUAACUUCGGGAAACCGGAGCUAAUACCGGAUAAUAUAUUGAACCGCAUGGUUCAAUAGUGAAAGACGGUUUUGCUGUCACUUAUAGAUGGAUCUGCGCCGCAUUAGCUAGUUGGUAAGGUAACGGCUUACCAAGGCAACGAUGCGUAGCCGACCUGAGAGGGUGAUCGGCCACACUGGAGCUGAGACGCGGUCCAGACUCCUACGGGAGGCAGCAGUAGGGAAUCUUCCGCAAUGGGCGAAAGCCUGACGGAGCAACGCCGCGUGAGUGGUGAAGGUCUUCGGAUCGUAAAACUCUGUUAUUAGGGAAGAACAAAUGUGUAAGUAACUAUGCACGUCUUGACGGUACCUAAUCAGAAAGCCACGGCUAACUACGUG
rnacentral:rRNA from 1 species